CGUCAGGUAGCUUAGUGGUUUAGAGCAGUCGCCCGAAGCAAAAGACCCGGGUUCGAUUUCCGGUCUAGCGA
rnacentral:tRNA from 1 species